ensembl:antisense Gm13599 predicted gene 13599
AAAGGAAGAGCAGAUAAUGAUCAAAUUCAUGUUGCAAAGUCUAAUAUUGAAAAUGUAUGUUGACCUGAAAAGAUAUUUUAAUAAUGGAAGGAUUAUCAUGUAGUACUGUUAUCUCUGAAUUAACUCUUUUAUUCUCUAGGUUGCCGUCAAUUUUCUUGUUAAUUUUAAAUGAAGCACUUAUGUUUUUCAGAGUCCAGUAUCAGAAAACACAUCAAGAUGUUGGCGCUAACCUUCCAUGCUGGGGCUCUGACCGCUCUUGGGUGACAUCUUGUCCAAAGGUACUUCUUCACUCUUCAGGUCUGAGUCUCUCAUGAAAUCGUCUGCAUGGCUCCCAGGGAGACUCCGAAACGUUGAUGAAAUUGCUGUGUUCCCUCCCCACUUCCUUCCAGGGAUGAGGAAGCCAAAUUUCCCUGUGGUCCAAGCUGACAGAGUUUUAUUCGGAAAGCCAUGGUCUACGAGAUCUUGAAACAUAAUCUGCGUUUUUGAACACAGAGAAACACUGUCUGGAUGCUUCACUGUCUGAGGGGAAGCCUGUUUCUUGGGAACUGAAAGUCAAACAGUGUCCCAGGAGCCAUGGAAUCUAACCUGAAAAACCUAUGACACAUGCCUUUUAAGGAAGCUAAACAAGGCCAACUCCAUGAUUCCCCCUCAAUAAGAAGCAAUGAUUGGACUCAGUAU